rnacentral:rRNA from 1 species
AUUGAGCGCUGGCGGCAGGCCUAACACAUGCAAGUCGAACGGUAACAGAAAGCAGCUUGCUGCUUUGCUGACGAGUGGCGGACGGGUGAGUAAUGUCUGGGAAACUGCCUGAUGGAGGGGGAUAACUACUGGAAACGGUAGCUAAUACCGCAUAACGUCGCAAGACCAAAGAGGGGGACCUUCGGGCCUCUUGCCAUCGGAUGUGCCCAGAUGGGAUUAGCUAGUAGGUGGGGUAACGGCUCACCUAGGCGACGAUCCCUAGCUGGUCUGAGAGGAUGACCAGCCACACUGGAACUGAGACACGGUCCAGACUCCUACGGGAGGCAGCAGUGGGGAAUAUUGCACAAUGGGCGCAAGCCUGAUGCAGCCAUGCCGCGUGUAUGAAGAAGGCCUUCGGGUUGUAAAGUACUUUCAGCGGGGAGGAAGGGAGUAAAGUUAAUACCUUUGCUCAUUGACGUUACCCGCAGAAGAAGCACCGGCUAACUCCGUG